rnacentral:rRNA from 1 species
UACGAAGGGGGCUAGCGUUGCUCGGAAUCACUGGGCGUAAAGCGCACGUAGGCGGGCCUUUAAGUCAGGGGUGAAAUCCUGGAGCUCAACUCCAGAACUGCCUUUGAUACUGAAGAUCUUGAGUUCGGGAGAGGUGAGUGGAACUGCGAGUGUAGAGGUGAAAUUCGUAGAUAUUCGCAAGAACACCAGUGGCGAAGGCGGCUCACUGGCCCGAUACUGACGCUGAUGCACGAAAGCGUGGGGAGCAAACAGG